UCCAUGGCAGAAAGGAGCAAGGAGCUUCUUAACUUGGAGCACAAGGCCACACCCCUCUCAUCCUUAGAAUCCACACUUCUUGUUUGUAACGGCAAAAGAGAACAAUGCAUUCAAGCUAAGAUACUUCCUCCUAAUGGCACUCCUCUUACUUCUCCUAUUCCCAAAAGCCAACGGCCAGCAAGAACUGCUGAAGAUGUGCAGGGGCCUGUUGCGACUUCUGGAGUUGUGCAAGGGGUAGCUGGGACUGUUGAUGACUUGCUGAGACUAUCCAGAACUGCUUGGGCCAGUAAGGAGGUAAGGAACCUAGGAAAGCGACUUGGUUGAGCAGUCAUCGUCUUUCAAAGAGGCCAUAAAUAGCAUAUAACUGGCAAAGACUGUGAAUGACAAAUAUUACCGUUGGUAUGGUUCACAAUGGGAGGUUGGAAGGAAAACACAACCCAAUAUUCAUCACUUUGGCUGUGUUUGGUUCUGAGAACAGAACAAGAUAAGACAGAACAUUGAGAACAAGACACAAUGGACAGAGACACAAAGAUUAAUGUUCUUGUAUUUUGUUUGGUGAUAAACUAGAACAAAAUAUAAAAGUCUAAUUUACUCUUAUUUUUUCCAUACAAAAAUUUAGGAAGAAAAAUAUGACGAAAAACAUAAUUUUGAAAAUUUGGUAGAAAUAUUGAAAGAAAAAAUGAAAAAUAAAUUGUCUCUUGUUAGUGUUUCUGUAUCCUUGACAGAAAGGACGCAAAAUACACUAAUUUAGUGACCCUACACGCAUUGUCUCUGUCUAUGUUUUAUCUAUCAAACAUAAUUUGUAUCUCUGUAUCUUCAAUG